rnacentral:rRNA from 1 species
AGUCACUGACAUUAGAUACCCCGGUAGUCCAGGGUGUAAACGCCGCAGACUUGGUGUUGGAAGCCCUUUGGGGGCAUUCAGUGCCGGAGAGAAGUUGUUAAGUCUGCUACUUGGGAGUACGUCCGCAAGGAUGAAACUUAAAGGAAUUGGCGGGGGAGCACCGCAACGGGAGGAGCGUGCGGUUUAAUUGGAUUCAACACCGUAAAACUCACCAGGGAAGACUGUUACAUGAAGGCCGAGAUGAAGACUCUGCUAGAUUUUCAG